AGUGAACGCUGGCGGUAGGCCUAACACAUGCAAGUCGAACGGCAGCACAGUAAGAGCUUGCUCUUACGGGUGGCGAGUGGCGGACGGGUGAGGAAUACAUCGGAAUCUACUUUUUCGUGGGGGAUAACGUAGGGAAACUUACGCUAAUACCGCAUACGACCUACGGGUGAAAGCAGGGGAUCUUCGGACCUUGCGCGAUUGAAUGAGCCGAUGUCGGAUUAGCUAGUCGGCGGGGUAAAGGCCCACCAAGGCGCCGAUCCGUAGCUGGUCUGAGAGGAUGAUCAGCCACACUGGAACUGAGACACGGUCCAGACUCCUACGGGAGGCAGCAGUGGGGAAUAUUGGACAAUGGGCGCAAGCCUGAUCCAGCCAUACCGCGUGGGUGAAGAAGGCCUUCGGGUUGUAAAGCCCUUUUGUUGGGAAAGAAAAGCAGCAGGUUAAUACCCCGCUGUUCUGACGGUACCCAAAGAAUAAGCACCGGCUAACUUCGUG
rnacentral:rRNA from 1 species